UAUUAGGUUGAUGCAAAAGUAAUUGUGGUUUUUGCCAUUAAAAGUAAUGGCAAAAAUAACAAUUA
rnacentral:miRNA from 1 species